UACGGAGGGUGCAAGCGUUGUCCGGAAUCACUGGGCGUAAAGGGCGCGUAGGCGGCUAUGUAAGUCACUUGUGAAAUCCCGGGGCUCAACUCCGGGGCCGCAGGUGAGACUGUGUGGCUAGAGCAUGGUAGAGGCGAGUGGAAUUCCCGGUGUAGCGGUGGAAUGCGUAGAGAUCCGGAAGAACACCGGAGGCGAAGGCGGCUUGCUGGGCUCGGUCUGACGCUGAGGCGCGAAAGCGUGGGGAGCGAACAGG
rnacentral:rRNA from 1 species